rnacentral:misc_RNA from 1 species
UUGAAGGCAUGAGAGGU